rnacentral:rRNA from 1 species
UACGUAGGGUGCAAGCGUUAAUCGGAAUUACUGGGCGUAAAGCGUGCGCAGGCGGUUUUGUAAGCCAGGUGUGAAAUCCCCGGGCUCAACCUGGGAAUGGCAUUUGGGACUGCAAGGCUGGAGUGUGGCAGAGGAGACUGGAAUUCCUGGUGUAGCAGUGAAUGCGUAGAUAUCAGGAGGAAUACCGAUGGCGAAGGCAGGUCUCUGGGCUGACACUGACGCUCAUGCACGAAAGCGUGGGGAGCAAACAGG